rnacentral:rRNA from 1 species
CCUACGGGGGGCAGCAGUGGGGAAUAUUGGACAAUGGGCGAAAGCCUGAUCCAGCCAUGCCGCGUGUGUGAAGAAGGCCUUCGGGUUGUAAAGCACUUUCAGUGGGGAAGAAAGCCUUGGGGCUAAUACCCUCGAGGAAGGACAUCACCCACAGAAGAAGCACCGGCUAACUCCGUGCCAGCAGCCUCGGUAAUACGGAGGGUGCGAGCGUUAAUCGGAAUUACUGGGCGUAAAGCGCGCGUAGGCGGUCUGAUAAGCCGGUUGUGAAAGCCCCGGGCUCAACCUGGGAACGGCAUCCGGAACUGUCAGGCUAGAGUGCAGGAGAGGAAGGUAGAAUUCCCGGUGUAGCGGUGAAAUGCGUAGAGAUCGGGAGGAAUACCAGUGGCGAAGGCGGCCUUCUGGACUGACACUGACGCUGAGGUGCGAAAGCGUGGGUAGCAAACAGGAUUAGAUACCCUAGUAGUC